CAAUAAGUCUGAUGUGAAAGCCUUCGGCUCAACCGGAGAAUUGCAUCAGAAACUGUUGAACUUGAGUGCAGAAGAGGAGAGUGGAACUCCAUGUGUAGCGGUGGAAUGCGUAGAUAUAUGGAAGAACACCAGUGGCGAAGGCGGCUCUCUGGUCUGCAACUGACGCUGAGGCUCGAAAGCAUGGGUAGCGAACAGGAUUAGAUACCCUGGUAGUCCAUGCCGUAAACGAUGAGUGCUAAGUGUUGGGAGGUUUCCGCCUCUCAGUGCUGCAGCUAACGCAUUAAGCACUCCGCCUGGGGAGUACGACCGCAAGGUUGAAACUCAAAGGAAUUGACGGGGGCCCGCACAAGCGGUGGAGCAUGUGGUUUAAUUCGAAGCAACGCGAAGAACCUUACCAGGUCUUGACAUCCAGUGCAAACCUAAGAGAUUAGGUGUUCCCUUCGGGGACGCUGAGACAGGUGGUGCAUGGCUGUCGUCAGCUCGUGU
rnacentral:rRNA from 1 species